GACGAACGCUGGCGGCGUGCUUAACACAUGCAAGUCGAACGGAAAGGCCCUGCUUUUGUGGGGGCCUCGAUUGGCAAAGGGGGGGGAACCACGUGAGAACCUUCCCCUGGCUUUUGGGAAACCUCCAGGAAAUGGGGGCUAUACCGGGAAGGGGCCUCUUCCGCAUGGGGGGGGGUGGGAAAGUUUGGCGGUUGGGGGUGGACUCGCGGCUUAUCAGCUUGUUGGUGGGGGAGUGGCUUACCAAGGCUUUGACGGGUAGCCGGCCUGAGAGGGUGACCGGCCACAUUGGGACUGAGAUACGGCCCAGACUCCUACGGGAGGCAGCAGUGGGGAAUAUUGCACAAUGGGCGGAAGCCUGAUGCAGCAACGCCGCGUGCGGGAUGACGGCCUUCGGGUUGUAAACCGCUUUCGCCUGUGACGAAGCGUGAGUGACGGUAAUGGGUAAAGAAGCACCGGCUAACUACGUG
rnacentral:rRNA from 1 species